rnacentral:tRNA from 1 species
UCCCUGGAGGACUAGUGGUUAGGCCACAGCGCUCUCACCUCUGCGGCACGGGAUCGAUUCCCAGCCAGGGAA